GACGAACGCUGGCGGCGUGCUUAACACAUGCAAGUCGAACGGAAAGGCCCUUUUGGGGGUCCACGAGUGGCGAACGGGGGAGUAACACGCGUGUGUUCUGCGCUCCACUCUGGGAUAAGCCUGCGAAACUGGGUCUAAUACAGCGUAGGACUGCUCCAUCCGUGUGGUGUGGGGGGGAGCUUUUGCGGGGUGGGGUGGGCCCGCGGCCUAUCAGCUUGUUGGUGGGGUGAUGUCGUACCACGGCGACGUGGGGUAGCCGGCCUGGGAGGGUGUGCGGCCACACUGGGAUGGGGCUCCGGCCCGGACUCCUCCGGGAGGCGGCGGUGGGGAAUAUUGCCCAAUGGUCGGAGGCCUAAUGCGGCGACGCCGCGUGGGGGAUAAGGGCCUUCGGUUUGUAAACCCCUUUCCGCACAGAGGAGGCGUAAGUGACGGUAUGUGGAGAAGAAGCACCGGCUAACUACGUG
rnacentral:rRNA from 1 species